rnacentral:misc_RNA from 1 species
CAAUCCUAAGGCUCUGCCUUGCGUUGUCUACGAGAUCGGUAUGUCGAUCGGUUGAAACCCUGGAGGCGUCGCUUUGUGGCGAAGUUGCAGUGAAAAUGUGACGAACCCAAAAGGUGGCCGCCAGUCACGUUUACACAAACGAAA